GGAGAGGUGGCCGAGUGGUUGAAGGCGCACGCUUGGAAAGCGUGUGUAUGGGUCAAACCGUACCGCAGGUUCAAAUCCUGUUCUCUCCG
rnacentral:tRNA from 1 species